CUCAGAACUUUGUGUGCAAGUUACUGGACCGAAGUCAUGGAGCAGUUUGGACCACUACAGCUCCACCAAGUGAACCUUUGACUUUAAUAUCUAUUGGACAAGACAAUUACAAGGUACGAUGCAACUUCAAAAGAUCGGAGUCACAGAUUGUACAGGGAAAUUAUCACAUCAGACUCAAUUCCAAAUGAUAAGGAUGAAGAAUGUUUAUCACUCCCCACCAUUCAAUGGGAAACACUUGCUUCCAAUCUUGAAGAUGUUUCAAAAGUAGUUGAAAAAUUUGCAAUCAGCAAGUCUGCUGUAGAAGUUGCUGUUAGCAUGAAACUUCAAGAUGAUGUUAUUCCUGCUCUUGAAAAGCUUCGGAAGG